ensembl:miRNA MIR1296 microRNA 1296
ACCUACCUAACUGGGUUAGGGCCCUGGCUCCAUCUCCUUUAGGAAAACCUUCUGUGGGGAGUGGGGCUUUGACCCUAACCCAGGUGGGCUGU